rnacentral:rRNA from 1 species
CAGCCGCCGCGGUAAUACAGAGGGUGCAAGCGUUAAUCGGAAUUACUGGGCGUAAAGCGCGCGUAGGUGGUUUGUUAAGUUGGAUGUGAAAUCCCCGGGCUCAACCUGGGAACUGCAUUCAAAACUGACUGACUCGAGUAUGGUAGAGGGUGGUGGAAUUUCCUGUGUAGCGGUGAAAUGCGUAGAUAUAGGAAGGAACACCAGUGGCGAAGGCGACCACCUGGACUAAUACUAACACUGAGGUGCGAAAGCGUGGGGAGCAAACAGGAUUAGAUACCCGCGUAGUCCCUGUCUCUUAUAC